rnacentral:rRNA from 1 species
GUCUACAGCCAUACCACCCAGAAUGCACCCAGUCUGAUGUCAGAAGGUAAGCAGGGUAGGGCCUGGUUAGUAGUUGGAUGGGAGACCACUGGGAAUACUGGGUUCUGUAGGCU